rnacentral:rRNA from 1 species
GACGAACGCUGGCGGCGUGCCUAAUACAUGCAAGUUGAGCGCUGAAGGUUGGUACUUGUACCCACUGGAUGAGCAGCGAACGGGUGAGUAACGCGUGGGGAAUCUGCCUUUGAGCGGGGGACAACAUUUGGAAACGAAUGCUAAUACCGCAUAAAAACUUUAAACACAAGUUUUAAGUUUGAAAGAUGCAAUUGCAUCACUCAAAGAUGAUCCCGCGUUGUAUUAGCUAGUUGGUGAGGUAAAGGCUCACCAAGGCGAUGAUACAUAGCCGACCUGAGAGGGUGAUCGGCCACAAUGGGAAUGAGACACGGCCCAAACUCCUACGGGAGGCAGCAGUAGGGAAUCUUCGGCAAUGGACGAAAGUCUGACCGAGCAACGCCGCGUGAGUGAAGAAGGGUUUCGGAUCGUAAAACUCUGUUGGUAGAGAAGAACGUUGGUGAGAGUGGAAAGCUCAUCAAGUGACGGUAACUACCCAGAAAGGGACGGCUAACUACGUG